rnacentral:pre_miRNA from 1 species
GUAAGUUAACCAUAUAAGAUAUGUUCUCCUUUAAUUAUAUGCAUCAACCUCAAGUUUAAAAAAUCUUAAGUUAUUGUGGCUUAUUAAGGCAAAUGCAUAGAAUUAAAGGAUAUGACAUAUAUUUUAUGUAGUUAACUUAAGU